rnacentral:rRNA from 1 species
GGGGGGGGGGGGGGGGGGGCGGGGCGCGGGGAGGUCGGGCGGGGCGGUCGGGCCUGGGGGCGCACGGGUGGGUAACGGGUGGGCACCCGCCCUUGGGUUGGGGAUACUGCCCCGGAGGGGGGGCUAAUAGCGGAUAAUGGCUGCGGCCCAAAGGCUUAUCGCCUUUGGCUGGGGGCGCGUUGGAUUAGCUAGUUGGUCAGGUAAAAGCCUACCAAGGCGACGAUCCCUAGCUGGUCUGAGAGGAUGAUCAGCCACACUGGGACUGAGACACGGCCCAGAAUCCUACGGGAGGCAGCAGUGGGGAAUAUUGGACAAUGGGCGAAAGCCUGAUCCAGCAAUGCCGCGUGAGUGAUGAAGGCCUUAGGGUUGUAAAGCUCUUUUACCCGGGAUGAUAAUGACAGUACCGGGAGAAUAAGCUCCGGCUAACUCCGUG